AGAAUCAACGCUGGCGGCGUGCCUAACACAUGCAAGUCGAACGAGAAAGUGGUAGCAAUACCAUGAGUAAAGUGGCGCACGGGUGAGUAACACGUGACUAACCUACCCUGGAGUGGGGGAUAACUGAGGGAAACCUUAGCUAAUACCGCAUAACACCUACGGGUCAAAGGAGCAAUUCGCUUCAGGAGGGGGUCGCGGCAGAUUAGCUAGUUGGCGGGGUAAUGGCCCACCAAGGCAGUGAUCUGUA
rnacentral:rRNA from 1 species